AGAGUUAAAUAGUACGUGAAAUUGUUGAAAGGGAAACGAUUGAAGUCAGUCGUGCUGGCGCGAAAUCAACCCUCUCAUCGGGAGAUCACAUGUUGUGGCGAGCCUCAAAACCGCCACAGCGUGUGACCUCACGAUGAGGGGGAGCACUUUCGUGUCCGCUGGUUAACAUCAAUUUCGAACGUCAUAAAAAGGCUGGAGGGAUGUGGCUCCUUCGGGAGUGUUAUAACCUUUAGCGGAAUGUGGUGUUUGGGAUUGAGGAUUGCAACGAAUACCUUUAGGGCUGUUCCACCUGGUCUCUCUUUGGCAUCUUGGCGGCGACAGCUUGCUGACGUUGUUAAGAUUUGACAUUGAACAGGCUAGUGUGAGCAAAUUCGUUAAGGAUGUUAACGUAAUGGCUUUAAACGACC
rnacentral:rRNA from 1 species